CCUACGGGAGGCUGCAGUGAGGAAUAUUGGUCAAUGGGCGGAAGCCUGAACCAGCCAAGUAGCGUGCAGGAUGACGGCCCUACGGGUUGUAAACUGCUUUUAUACGGGAAUAACGCGCCUUACGUGUAGGGCUUUGCAUGUACCGUAUGAAGAAGGACCGGCUAAUGCCGUGCCAGCAGCCGCGGUAAUCGGGAAGGUCCGGGCGUUAUCCGGAUUUAUUGGGGUUAAAGGGAGCGUAUGUCGCAUGGCAAGCGUGAUGUGAAAUGUACGGGCUCAACCCGGGCCUUGCAGCGCGAACUGGCGUGCUUGGUUCCGCGUAAAGCAGGCGGAAUUCGUCGUGUAGCGGUGAAAUGCUUAGAUAUGACGAAGAACCCCGAUUGCGAAGGCAGCUUGCUGCAGCGGAACUGACGCUGAUGCUCGAAAGCGCGGGUAUCGAACAGGAUUAGAUGCCCUAGUAGUC
rnacentral:rRNA from 1 species